rnacentral:rRNA from 1 species
ACUCCUACGGGAGGCAGCAGUAGGGAAUCUUCCACAAUGGGCGCAAGCCUGAUGGAGCAACACCGCGUGAGUGAAGAAGGGUUUCGGCUCGUAAAGCUCUGUUGUUAAAGAAGAACACGUAUGAGAGUAACUGUUCAUACGUUGACGGUAUUUAACCAGAAAGUCACGGCUAACUACGUGCCAGCAGCCGCGGUAAUACGUAGGUGGCAAGCGUUAUCCGGAUUUAUUGGGCGUAAAGAGAGUGCAGGCGGUUUUCUAAGUCUGAUGUGAAAGCCUUCGGCUUAACCGGAGAAGUGCAUCGGAAACUGGAUAACUUGAGUGCAGAAAAGGUAGUGGAACUCCAUGUGUAGCGGUGGAAUGCGUAGAUAUAUGGAAGAACACCAGUGGCGAAGGCGGCUACCAGGUCUGCAACUGACGCUGAGACUCGAAAGCAUGGGUAGCGAACAGGAUUAGAUACCCCUGGUAGGAUAGCG